AGUAACGCGUGGUCAACCUACCGUUGAGUGGGGGAUAACUAGCCGAAAGGUUAGCUAAUACCGCAUACGUCUCCGAGUGGCAUCACUUGGCGAUAAAAGGAGCAAUCCGCUCGAUGACGGGACCGCGUCCCAUUAGCUAGAUGGUGGGGUAACGGCCUACCAUGGCACCGAUGGGUAGCUGGUUUGAGAGAGCGACCAGCCACACUGGGACUGAGAACGGCCCAG
rnacentral:rRNA from 1 species